CUCGGGUUGAUCUGGCCGGACCCGACUCUUAUCGGAUUGAGAUUUAGCCAUGCGAGUCGAACGUCCCCCUGUUGCGGGGGGCGUGGCGUACGGCUCAGUAACACGUAGUCAACCUGCCCUGGAGACAAGGACAACCCCGGGAAACUGGGAUUAAUCCUUGAUAGGUCAUCUCAUCUGGAAGGAGAGAUGGCUUAAAGGGGUACGCGGGCUUCUUCCGCGAAUCUGCUCCAGGAUGGGACUGCGUCCGAUCAGGCUGUUGGCGGGGUAAUGGCCCACCAAACCUGUAACCGGUACGGGCCUUGAGAGAGGUGGCCCGGAGAUGGACACUGAGAGAAGGGUCCAGGUCCUACGGGGCGCAGCAGGCGCGAAACCUUCGCAAUGCGCGAAAGCGUGACGAGGUUAAUCCGAGUGACUCCCGCUGAGGGGGUCUUUUGUCAGCUGUAAAUAGGCAGGCGAAUAAGGGGAGGGCAAGCCUGGUGUCAGCCGCCGCGGUAAUACCAGCUCCUCGAGUGGUCGGGGCGAUUAUUGGGCCUAAAGCAUCCGUAGCCGGUUCCGUAGGUCCUCUGUUAAAUCCAACCGCUUAACGGUUGACCUGCAGAGGAUACCGCGGGACUAGGAGGCGGGAGAGGCGGACGGUACUCCGCGUGUAGGGGUAAAAUCCUUUGAUCCGCGGAAGACCACCAGUGGCGAAGGCGGUCCGCCAGAACGCGCUCGACGGUGAGGGAUGAAAGCUGGGGGAGCGAACCGGAUUAGAUACCCGGGUAGUCCCAGCCGUAAACGAUGCUAGCUAGAUGAUUCAUUCGCAAGUCGCGAAUGAAGUGUCGCAGGGAAGCCGUUAAGCUAGCCGCCUGGGGAGUACGGUCGCAAGACUGGAACUUUAAGGAAUUGGCGGGGGAGCC
rnacentral:rRNA from 1 species